rnacentral:misc_RNA from 1 species
UAACCACUCACGCUCUGCGUGGAUUUGGGGCCCGCUGUACCGGCGGCCCUUAAAACCAGUGGCGGUGCCGUCUGGCUCUACGCGUAGUAAUUCAUCUCGCGAUUGGGCCUUGCGGUUGCUUGCCAACAACCCCCAAUUUUUUCA